UGUGAGGAUUAAAUGGGAUAACACGUAAAGCACCCAGCCAGUCCCUGUGAGAGUAGAUGUCCAUUAAACAUUACUCCGCCCCUGACUCCUCAUUAAAGAUGAAAAAGCAAAGCACUGAGAAGCUAAAUGUCUUAGCUGACAUUUUCCAGUGUGUUUUCCCAGACUUUGUGGUCAGUCCCUGGGCCAUCUCCAGGUAAGGUUUUCUCUUUGCUGCAGUUGGUAGUCAAGGAUCUUGACUUUUCUCAGUUCCCUCUUAGCCAAGGUGGGACCCUGGCAGAUAGGGCCCAUCAGAAGCCUUUGCCCAGCCACCCUUCCCUCUUACUGGCCCUUCUUUUCUGCCCUCUCCCCAUAGCUUGAAAAGAAGACUAGGACAAGGAGAAGUUAAAAGCUCCCUUGGUCAUCAAGAGAAUUAAGGUCAGACCAAGAGCUGCAAAUGAAACAGAUAUCCAUGAGUUCGGGUGUUUAAGAAACAAGCUAGAAGAGUCUACCAAGAAGAUUCCUGGGGUACAAUGCCAAGUGCACCCCAACUAAAGUGCACAGAGAUUGCCCUCGCCAGAGUUAUCAUCAUUUUCAUCAUGGUCACCAUUUAUUGAAAGCUCGCUGUCUACUUGGCACUGCAUUAAGAGGAGGAAAAACUAUGAUGGUCAUAGAUGCAAGAACCAAGCCAAACCUUGGAAGCACAUUUAUGGCCUCUGCUCACACCAAGUCCUUAUCGUUCCAUUGGCCCAAGCAAGUUAUAUGGCGAAGCCCAACAUCCAUAAGUAACUGCUGGGAGCCCACGACUAGAACAGCCGUCAACUGAAAAUGAAGGAACAGCUCAGCUCAUGUCAGAACGGAGUCUUUAAGGGCGUCUCUAUUACUUCCUCCAAGCACUUCACACCCAGCCUCCUGGAAGGGCUGCUCCAUCAGCCCAGCCCCUGAAAUCACGUGGGUGAUCUUUUUUUUUUUUUUUUCCAAAUUGCGUUUUCAAACUUUCACUUAAAGGAAGAUGACGGGUGGGAGUGUAUGACCUGAAGUGACAAGAAAAUCAAUAGCAGGCUUUCAGAGUCAUUCUGGAUAAAAGGCCCAGGGGUCACAUUAUAGAAAGGAAGGGGAAGGAAGGGACAGUGGGGAAUCUGCUGGAGGCCUCCCAGAUCUUCUCAGAAGGUGUGCUCCCUUUGCCCUGGGGGUGGGAAGGAAUGGCUAGAUAGAGCCCCAAGCCUAAAGCUUAUGUAUUGAGUCCUAGAACGUGGAGGCUGGGAGGCGCCUGUGAAAUGGAUCAAAUCCUAGCCCUUUGUUUUAUUCAAUAUGUCUGUCAAAAGCCCAGUAAGUCAGACUUACUACCCACAGUAAGUCAACCCAGGGGCCAGACCAGGACCCUGGGUUCCUGAUUCCCACACCAGGGUCUUACCGUUACAUCAGGAGAGUCCAAUGUGUGAGGCACAAUAAUGGCCCCCCAAAUAUGUCCAUGUCCUAACCCCAGAACCUGUGAAUAUGCUACCUGACAUGGCAAGACUUUGCAGAUGUGAUUAAGUUAGGAUCUUGAGAUGGGGAGAUUAUCCUGGGUUAUCUGGAUAGGUCCAAUGUAAUCACAAGGGUCCUUAUGAGAGGGAGGCAGGAGGGUCAGAGUAAGAGGAGAUGUGAUGACAGAAGCAGAGAUGGACCCAGGCAGCCUCCAGAGGUUGGAAAAGGCAAAGCAAGGGAUUGUUCCCCUACAGUCUCCAGAAGAACCAUAGCUGCCAGCCUAUUUUAGACUCCUGACCUCCAGAACUGUAAAGUAAUAACUCUGUGUUGCAUUAAGACACUAAGUUUGUGGUGAUUUGUUAUAGCUGCAAUCAGAAAGUAAUACAUCCUGUGAUACCACUCAACCCACAUGCUAAUCCUGCAAAUCCCCCAGAGACAGGAAGAGUCAGGGAGUGCAUCCAUACUUGAGUGGCACUAUGUCAUAGUGAUUAUGAGCACACACUGCAGAAACAAGCCCAAAGACCAUCCACAGGAGAAUGGAUAGAUACAUCGUACCUACUCACACACUGCAGAAAAGCAUACGACAGUUCAAAAGAACAAACUUCUGAAACACGCAACGACAUGGAUGAAGCAAUGACAUUGGAGAGAAACAAGCCAAGACACAAAAAGAUUAUGUAAUGAAUGAUUCCAGUUGCAUAAAAUUCAAGCACAGACUGGGGACUUCCCUGGCGGUCCAGUGGUUAGGAUUCUGCUCUUCCACUGCAGGGGACACGGGUUCGAUCCCUGGUUGGGGUACUAAGAUCCCACUGCUGCAUGGCACAGCCAGAAAAAAAAAAAAGAAAAAAAAAUUCAAGCACAGACAAAGCAAAUCUAUGGUGAUAAAAAUAAAAAAUGGUGGUUAUCCUGGAGGGAGAGUAUCAAAGACAAGAGUGAUAAAAAGAGCCAGCUGGGACGGGAAAUGUUCCCUGUCAUGAUCUGCUUACAUAUGGUAUACAUACCUAAAACUCCACUGAGCAGUGUGCUUGGGAUUCGCUCACUUCCCUAUAAGUUAUACUGCAGUUUAAUCUCAGCUCCAGCAUUGCCUGUGUGACUUUGGGCAGGUUACCAAGCUCAUCUGUGACUGCAUUUCUCAUCUGUGUAAUGGGAAUAUUAACAGCUCCUGCCUCAUAGAGUUGCUGUGGGUUAGUAUAUAUAAAGUGCUUACCACUGGGCCUGACACAUGGUAAGUGCUUCCUAAACCCUGCUCAUUGUUCGUUGGGUGUGAAUGCAGGGGUGAGCUGGAGCCAGUGCCCACCUGCACAUGGGAGCCGAUCUUGUGUCUCACCUCCCAACUCCACAAUCACACAUUAUGCUGGAAGCACAAAAAAAAUCAGCCGUGGUGGGAGUAUUUACACCCUCACUACUGGCCAAAGCGGCAAGUCAGUGCCUUUUGUGUUGCCUUGUUUGGAGAGCCCACAUACCGCUGUGUACAUGGCUGACACCAGACCUUCUCUGGACAGUGUUUCACUUUAGGAAAGGGGAAGAGAAGAUGGGGGACCUGUGGUGACGAAAGCAGGACCUGCCACCUCCUCUCCACUCCUCACUGGCCCAGGAGGCUGGAAGGCGCUCAAAGAGCCAGGCUCUAGAGACUUGAGUAUGGGCCUCGUGAUGGCAUCAGAGUCCCCCACCAAUGUCUCUUUUCUCUUCUCUCACCCCUGGGCUUUAGCCACUUAACCCAGCCUUUCAGACCCCAUCUCCCCUUAAUAUGUGCCUUGUGAGAGGCCUGGCCCACCUUCCCACCCAUCCCCUAGCACCAGGGACCCCUCCAGCCAACCCCUCCCCAGCCCUCAGAGAACUGCCCAGAGUCACACUCCCUGUUCCUUCUCUGCCUGGAACCAACUGCCCUCAGAUCCUCUUUGAAUCAGCUCUUUCUCAUCCUUAAUGUCUUAGCUCAAAGGUCACCUCUUCAGAGAAGCCCUUCUUGGCCUCACUCUCUCACUCUCCAUCACGCCACUCAUCACUGACUGAAAUUCUUGUAUGUGUGACUGUCUGCCUAUUUAGUGUCUGAUUCCCAACUAGGAUGUUAAUUCCAGGAUACACACUAUUUUCAUCAUCCCUAUUCUAUAUAUCAAGAAACCGAGGACUGCAGAAGUUAAAUAAUUUACCCAUAUGGUCACAAAGCCAAGAAGUGACAGAGCUGGGAUUUGAACCCAUACAAGCCGACAUGCUUAGCUGCUCUGUCAUGAUGGACUGCCAGAAAAGCAGGGCAGUGUAGGCAACUGGUGAGUCCAGAGAGAAGUCAGGUGAGCAGGAGCCUAGGUUGGGUGUAGGGGGUGAAUAAGGGGCACACCUGCCAAGCUAAGGAGUUUGACAGUCUGGCUGGAAGUAAGUCUGACGUCCCAAGGCCAGUGAGUAACAAGGUGUAGAGAGCAAUAAAAGGCCCAUAGGAGGCAUCGAAGCAGUGCGUGCAGAAUGUGCCUUUAUUCACUUAUUUAUAGAGGAUGAGAAAUUAAUCAAGGGCCCAUGCUUUGAACUACCAGCGCCUUCUCUUCUCCUGCAGCAGGUCAGUUGGUAUGAUUAGCUAGCACCGGGGAAGGAAGCCAAAUUCUCUGCUUUUCUCUGAGACUCGCAGACUCCCUGUUACAGGGCCUUUCCCAAGCCAGGAAAUCAGUCCUUUGGCCAGAGAAGCAUUGGCUCCAUGCAGGAAAGCGGGGAUCAGGAGUGGGAAUGGGGGAAGCCAGCUGGGGCAGUGAAAAGAGUACUGGACAGGAGGAAUCCUCAAGCCCCAUAGGACCAUGUCGAGCACUUAGCGCAGUGCCUGACACGUACUGAGCGCUCAGGAAAUGCUGGGUGGUGGUGGUGGUCCCAGGUCUCUGUGACCUUAGGCAAGUCAUAGUCUUUCUGUGUUCCCCUUCCCUCAUAUGCAGAAGACAGUUGAAAAGAAUUGCCUGCUGGGCCCUCCUCUCAGAGAAGCUAAGGGGUGCUCAGCACAGUGAGUGGUAGCAGCCUCAUAAAUGCUUAUGGAAUGACUAUAGUGCGUGUUAACCGUAAAAACCUUUAAAAACCUAAGUUGUUAUUUCAACAGCCAUCUGAAAAUACGAUAAGAUGUCUGGGCAGGUGCUGAGGUCCCCUCACUGGGUUCACUCCGAGAGCAGCUGGGAGGGGAGACGCUGGCAUGGAGUGCCGGCUGGGGCUCCCCUCUGGGGACAGUGCUAUUUAGAGAAUUGGCUUUAGAGCCCAACAGUGAGAGUUCAACUCCCAGCCCAGCUACCUGUUAGCUGUGUGGUUUUAAGUUCCUUCCUCUCCCGGAUCCUUGGUUCCCUCUCCUCAAAAACUGCAAUAAUAACAGUAACUGCCUUAUAUGAUUGUUUGGAAAAUUCCUUGAUACAACGGACAAGUAACUGACAUAUUGGGCCAUUAACACGAAAUGGCUUUUUUUCCUUCUAUUUCUGCCUCUAGUUGUACCCAGUCAGCUCCAUCAUCUUACCCACUUGAUGAUGAUCACUUCAGCAGAUGCCAAACAUUCUGGUCAUUUAAAGCCCAUUUCUUCCUUCCUCCUAGUGUGGGUUGGACCGAUGGCUCAAGAAACAGGACCAGAAGUGGGCAGGGGCUUGGCCUGCUCAUUCAUGCCCCCUCCUCCCUGCACCUCCCUCCCUCUCUGAGUCUGGGUCUUUCCUUCCUCCUCUGACAUCUAGUGUCCAAGGUGGGUAGCUGAUGUGUCACCCAUCUGACCUCCUGGGGGUGGGGGGAAGUGUCCCUGGCCUCCCAGAGGGUCAGCGACUUUCCACGAGGUGCUGGUGGCCUCUGCGGAUGUGGUGGUCCUUGUUGUGGUGGUGCGUCUUCGUUUCUUAGGGUGGUAUUUAACUUCACUCAACGGCAGCUCUGCAGACCCCCCAGAGAGCAGCAGCCUACUCUUCCUCAGCCCUGCCAGGGCCAUGAUGGCCCUUCUCCUCUCUUGCCAGCCUCAGGCCCUGCCAUGCGAAGGAAGUCUCCAGGCUCCUUCACAUGGAGCUGCAGGACCCAGGCCUUUGGGUCCUUAAGCACUACUACACACCAGCUCCCUACUCACUGUAGGGGAGGGAAGAUUUUUCCUCAACCCUUUUAAGGUCCCCGACUGGGUCUGAAAAUUAAACUGACAGCCAAAUUAAGAGGAGAAAAGCAUACAUAUAUAUCUAAGUAAGUUUUACACGCAAGCCUUCCAAAGGAAAUGAAGACCUGAGGAAAUGAUUAAA